AUUUUCUUUUCAAUUAUUGAAGCAAAAUUUAAAGUAAAUUCCUUUCUUAGGAAUAUAUACUUUAGACUUUUGCAGUGAAAUAGCAUAACUUGUUAUAUUCUUUAUAUAGAAUCUAAAUGCUUGUUGAUGGUUCUUUUUAGUUUAUAUAUGAUAAAGUGGUAUGUCGUAACCUAUUUACAUUUGCGACAUCAAUGACAGGCCUUGUGGUAACUAUUGUCUUUUUCUUAUCCGGUUACUUUUGCCUGAUCUGUUCAACAAGGCUCUCACCAUACUGGUUUUGGUUCUAUCAGCUCAUUGUUUUCCGUUGAAGAUAUGUCUCAGCCUCAUUAAUUAAUUCACUCCAUAUAAUUAAUUUUGUUGCUCAUAUCAUCGAGAAGGAAAUAUUAUUUUCAAUGCCAUUGACAUUUGCGGAUGGGGUCAAGGUAUUUUAGGAAUUUCUACACAAGUAGCUGCAAGGUUAAGAAAGCUCCUAGCUGGGCGGAAGUUGAAGUGAUGAGAUGAAUUGGAGAAGGAAAUACUGAAUGUUAGGGUUAACAUCAGAAGCUACAUGAGAGCAAGCUAAGUAUUAUUGUUCUUCUUUCUGUUUUGAUUCCUUCAGAACACACAUGUUCCCUGAGAACUAAAUUAGGUAGCUUUGCUUUCUAUUCCUCUAUCUCUUUAUUUCCUUCGCUGUUAUCAACUUAUU